CUCUGACUCUUCAGAUUCUCCGUCCUCCUGUUGCUUCUCUUCUUGCUCCGCUUCUGCCUCAUGAGAGCGGUGGAUGAGCUGGUGGAGGAGAAAUGCGACACGCAAUGUGGAUGGGGAAAUCUGACAAGACUCACUCCUAGAAGAAGAGCUAUAGGAGGGACAAUGGCUGGUAAAAGAUGGAGAAUCGGGGACGAGGUCCCGUGAUGGUUUGAAUGAGAAUGGUCCCCAUAGGCUGCAACAUUUGAGUACUUGGUCCCCAGUUGGUGGUGCUGUUUUGUGGUUCAAGAUGUGAGCUCUCCACUAUUCGGUCACUAAGCCUGGUGCUUGCUGCUGAGUUUCCUGCCGUGAUGGUGUUGGACGCUGAGCUUGGUCCUGUCAUCUACAUCGGACAACAGAACUGUAGUGAAUGUAGGACCAGCAGAGAUUUGGACAUCCUUGCCCAUGAGGCUGCUCUUUCUCAUUGCUAUUGGAGAUUCUGUGACUAUCAUGUGAAAUAAACUUGGGAUAGUUCCUGGAUAGCAAGAAACACUGGGCCCAAUAGCCCCUGUGGUCACAGGCACUGGCCUUCCAUUAGUAGAUACACCAGUGUGGGCAGAGUAGACCAUCUGGUACCAAAAGACUUGCCAGCUGAUUCAGAUUUAUGGAUCAAAAUGACCCAAAAGAACUUUCCAGACAAUUCGGAGAAUUGUGGUGAAGAACAAGUGGUUGUAAGCCACUGCCCUCUGGGGUUUUGAAAGGUAGCAGAUAGCAGAAACAGAUAUACAAACAGGGCUUCUCUGUCCUUUCCAACAGACUGAGCUUAAAAUCCCGAGUCUCACCAGUAACUAAUGCCAUAGCAGCCUUUGAUAUUGUUAGCAAUCAGGCAUUUCCACUGGCCUGACCUCAGGGACCUAGCAGCAGCAGCUUAGGUCAUCAACCGCCCCCAGGUGCACCAGGUUUGCCAAGUGCGGAGCAUGCAAGGCCCCAGCCACUCCAGAUCUCUCUCUCCCCCUCGAUCUCUGUCUUCUUCAUUCUCAUUCUCUGUGUCUCUGUGUCCCUGUCAGUCUGUCUC